AUUGAGCGCUGGCGGCAGGCUUAACACAUGCAAGUCGAGCGGGGGAAGGUAGCUUGCUACCGGACCUAGCGGCGGACGGGUGAGUAAUGCUUAGGAAUCUGCCUAUUAGUGGGGGACAACAUCUCGAAAGGGAUGCUAAUACCGCAUACGUCCUACGGGAGAAAGCAGGGGAUCUUCGGACCUUGCGCUAAUAGAUGAGCCUAAGUCGGAUUAGCUAGUUGGUGGGGUAAAGGCCUACCAAGGCGACGAUCUGUAGCGGGUCUGAGAGGCUGCUCCGCCACACUGGGACUGAGAUACGGCCAAGACUCCUACGGGAGGCAGGAGUGGGGAAUAUUGGACAAUGGGGGGAACCCUGAUCCAGCCAUGCCGCGUGUGUGAAGAAGGCCUUAUGGUUGUAAAGCACUUUAAGCGAGGAGGAGGCUACUUUAGUUAAUACCUAGAGAUAGUGGACGUUACUCGCAGAAUAAGCACCGGCUAACUCUGUGCCAGCCGCCGCAGUAA
rnacentral:rRNA from 1 species